GAGUUUGAUCUUGGCUCAGAGUGAACGCUGGCGGCAGGCCUAACACAUGCAAGUCGAACGGCAGCACAGUCCCGCAAGGGAUGGGUGGCGAGUGGCGGACGGGUGAGGAAUACAUCGGAAUCUACCUUGUCGUGGGGGAUAACGUAGGGAAACUUACGCUAAUACCGCAUACGACCUACGGGUGAAAGCGGCGGACCGCAAGGCGUCGCGCGAUUGGAUGAGCCGAUGUCCGAUUAGCUAGUUGGCGGGGUAAAGGCCCACCAAGGCGACGAUCGGUAGCUGGUCUGAGAGGAUGAUCAGCCACACUGGAACUGAGACACGGUCCAGACUCCUACGGGAGGCAGCAGUGGGGAAUAUUGGACAAUGGGCGCAAGCCUGAUCCAGCCAUGCCGCGUGUGUGAAGAAGGCCUUC
rnacentral:rRNA from 1 species